rnacentral:rRNA from 1 species
CCUACGGUGGGCUGCAGUGGGGAAUAUUGGGCAAUGGGCGAAAGCCUGACCCAGCAACGCCGCGUGAAGGAAGAAGGCUUUCGGGUUGUAAACUUCUUUUGACAGGGAAGAGCAGAAGACGGUACCUGUCGAAUAAGCCACGGCUAACUACGUGCCAGCAGCCGCGGUAAUACGUAGGUGGCAAGCGUUGUCCGGAUUUACUGGGUGUAAAGUGCGUGUAGCCGGGCUGACAAGUCUGAAGUGAAAGCCCAAGGCUCAACCAUGGGACUGCUUUGGAAACUGUAAAACUGGAGUGCAGGAGAGGUAAGCGGAAUUCCUAGUGUAGCGGUGAAAUGCGUAGAUAUUAGGAAGAACACCAGUGGCGAAGGCGGCUUGCUGGACAGUAACUGACGUUGAGGCUCGAAAGCGUGGGGAGCAAACAGGAUUAGAUACCCCUGUAGUC